UGAGUAGGACAAGUGAUCGCGGCUGUACUUAAUUUAAGUACGGGUGAGGAAAGUCCGGGCUUCAUAGGGCAGGAUGCCGGAUAACGUCCGGUGGAGGUGACUCCCAGGCCAGUGCAACAGAAAUAAACCGCCUGCUUUGCAGGUAAGGGUGGAAAGGCAGUGUAAGAGACUACCGUGCGUGUGGUAACACACGUAGCCAUGUAAACCCCAUCCGAAGCAAGACCAAGAAUGCCAUUUUGGCAGGAAAACCAUAGAUUUGCCCGAUCUGUUUUCCGGUAGGUCGCUUGAGGCUGUUGGUAACAGCAGUCCUAGAAAGAUGAUCACUCAACGACAUAACCCGGCUUAUCGUCUUACUCACUUU
rnacentral:RNase_P_RNA from 1 species